rnacentral:rRNA from 1 species
AUUGAACGCUGGCGGCAGGCCUAACACAUGCAAGUCGAGCGAGCGGCGGACGGGUGAGUAAUGUCUGGGAAUCUGCCUGAUGGAGGGGGAUAACUACUGGAAACGGUAGCUAAUACCGCACACCAUCAGAUGUGCCCAGAUGGGAGUAGCUAGUAGGUGGGGUAAUGGGUCACCUAGGCGACGACCCCUAGCUGGUCUGAGAGGAAUACCAGCCACACUGGUACUGAGACACGGUCCGGACUCCUACGUGAGGCAGCAGUGGGGAAUAUGGCACAAUGGGCGCAAGCCUGAUGAAGCCAUGCGGCGUGUGUGAAGAAGGCCUUCGGGUUGUAAAGCAAUUUCAGCGAGGAGGCGUUACUCGCAGAAGGAGCACCGGCUAACUCCGUGCCAGCAGCCGCGGUAAUUC